rnacentral:lncRNA from 1 species
GAAGAAGUUCCUCAGUUCACGAAACAGCCUGGAAAUACCCUGCAUGCGGCCAGCUAGAUGUGAUGCCUAACUGGGAUGCUGAACGCCGCUGGAGGUCCCGGUGCAACGGGUCAGGGUCCUGCCACGAGCAAGGGCUGUAGAGACACAAUGAAACACAGAAUGGCCACACUCUGAUCCCGCCCUCUGGAUCUGGCUUCCAAGUAUCUUUCUG